GAUGAACGCUAGCUACAGGCUUAACACAUGCAAGUCGAGGGGAAACGACAUCGAAAGCUUGCUUUUGAUGGGCGUCGACCGGCGCACGGGUGAGUAACGCGUAUCCAACCUGCCCAUCACUUGGGAAUAACCUUGCGAAAGUAAGACUAAUACCCAAUGACAUCCCACGAAGACAUCUGAAUGGGAUUAAAGAUUUAUCGGUGAUGGAUGGGGAUGCGUCUGAUUAGCUUGUUGGCGGGGUAACGGCCCACCAAGGCAACGAUCAGUAGGGGUUCUGAGAGGAAGGUCCCCCACAUUGGAACUGAGACACGGUCCAAACUCCUACGGGAGGCAGCAGUGAGGAAUAUUGAUCAAUGGGCGAGAGCCUGAACCAGCCAAGUAGCGUGCAGGAGGACGGCCCUAUGGGUUGUAAACUGCUUUUAUAAGGGAAUAAAGUGGGUCUCGUGAGACUUUUUGCAUGUACCUUAUGAAUAAGGACCGGCUAAUUCCGUG
rnacentral:rRNA from 1 species